rnacentral:rRNA from 1 species
GAAUGGCGUAACGAGAUGGGAGCUGUCUCAAAGAGGGAUCCAGUGAAAUUGUAGUGGAGGUGAAAAUUCCUCCUACCCGCGGCAAGACGGAGAGACCCCGUGGACCUUUACUACAGCUUGACACUGCUAUUUGGAUAAGAAUGUGCAGGAUAGGUGGGAGGCUUUGAGUAUAUGACGCCAGUUGGAUAUGAGCCAUUGUUGAGAUACCACUCUUUCUUAUUUGGG